GUUGAAACACUCAUUCCCAUACAAUCACCAAAAUUAAGCAACGUUGAGCCUGGUCAGUACUUAGAUGGGUGACCACUUGGGAAUACCAGCUGCUGUAAG